GCUGCCGCUUGCACCCGCUGCUGGUGCCCGGUGCCAGUCCCAAUCGCUUGGCACCAUCAGCGGGUGUGAGCGGCGGCUG
rnacentral:pre_miRNA from 1 species